rnacentral:rRNA from 1 species
UACGGGGGGGGCAAGCGUUGUUCGGAAUUACUGGGCGUAAAGGGCGCGUAGGCGGCCUGCUAAGUCGGACGUGAAAUCCCUCGGCUCAACCGAGGAACUGCGUCCGAUACUGGUGGGCUUGAAUCCGGGAGAGGGAUGUGGAAUUCCAGGUGUAGCGGUGAAAUGCGUAGAUAUCUGGAGGAACACCGGUGGCGAAGGCGGCAUCCUGGACCAUUAUUGACGCUGAGGAGCGAAAGCCAGGGGAGCAAACGGG